rnacentral:lncRNA from 1 species
AAUAUUCAUGGAGCUACGGACACGGACAACGUGCGCCCGUUAACGAUACCGUCUUUAUGGUGCUCACGCGGAAUAGGAGCGACAGCCUAGCAAGUCACAAGUCUGAUGCCUCCAGCCGUCACCACUUUUUGAUUUAUUCUUAAUCAUAAGGAAUAAAGAUUGAAACAUGA